GCCGGGAGCGGUGGCGAGUGCCUGUAGUCCCAGCUACUCGGGAGACUGAGGUGGGAGGAUCACUUGAGCCCAGGAGUUCUGGGCUGCAGUGCGCUAUGCCGAUCGGUUGUCCACACUAAGUUCAACAUCAAUAUGGUGGCCUCCCGGGAGCGGGGAAUCACCAGGUUGCCUAAGGAGGGGUGAACCGGCCCAGGUCGGAAACGGAGCAGGUCAAAACUCCCGUGCUAAUCAGUAGUGGGAUAGCACCUGUGAAUAGCCACUGCACUCCAGCCUGGGCAACAUAGCGAGACGGCGUCUCU
rnacentral:SRP_RNA from 1 species